rnacentral:lncRNA from 1 species
AGACCAUAAGGAUGGCAUGUCAAGUAAUGCCAUAGAAGGAGAGCUAAGCCAUAUAGAAAAUUCUAACACCUCCCCUAUUUUGAUCACAAGUUCUAAAUGGCUAGAAUGUGUAGAAUGGAUGGAUAAGGAAGAAGCCUUAAUGGGUUCUGACUUUGGCUCAGUUUCAAGUGGUGAGUUCUUGACUCCCUUUGAAGAUGAGAUUCAUCCAACUACAGAAGAGGACAUAGGUGAGACCAAUCCAGGAGAAACUCCGAACA